AGGGGGAUCCAAAAUCAAAAACUUUCGGUAACUCCAAGUCAGUAUGACCAGGCAUGUCCGUAGAGGGUCGGUAGUGCGAGGCACACUUAAAACCACUAUCUCCUUAAUUUCGGACAAUUCUAAGACAUCACACUGAGCUUGGAUGAGCCUAGUUGAACAAUUGAUGAUGAAAAAUCCGCUAUAGGGUAGAAGACUUAACCGGAAACACGUGAGCGAUCCUCCUUGAGGAUGCAGUGCCAUGAGUCACCUUCAAAGGAAGGGACCAAAAUCGGCACAAUAUGCCAUGUUUCUAAGGACGAUGUAAGUGUACAUCUUGAUUGUAAAUCAAUAUGAACCAUAAGAGGAGAAUAGUUUCACUUUGAAAAAUUCUCAAGGCAUUCAUUAUUGCUAAUGUGAGUACAUCGAAGUCUUAAAUAGACAAAGGACGUCGAUACAACGCCUUAGUACAUAUAACUUGGAACGAAAAUCAAUGUCUAGCCGAUGACAUCAAAGUCAUGGGUAGCUAGAGCAGGAUCCGAAUCUUUGAAAUUCGCGAUCAUGAGGAUGACGUUCUUGUCCUCAUAUUGAUUUUUCAUACCUUUUUGUAUGCAUUCACAAUUUAAAGGAGUUUGACAAUCUUGAACCAGUGAUCCGAAGAUCCACAACGGUUGCAUUAAUGUCAUGUGCUGACAUGAGUAGUUUUGACAAAAUGGUGUCUAGACUGGGAGUGUCACUAUUAGAGCCGGCAACACCUCCCCCUCUUUUCUAGACAUUGGCACGACGUUUUAUGCCGUUGCCAUGACCCAUAUUGUUGUCCCCACAUUAGGGGAUAAUCCCAAAUAAGUUUAUCACAUUAGCGUAUAUACAAUUCCUGUUUGUAUGAUCAAAAUCAAGUCUCGUUGGUAAUUCCACACCAACUUGGAGGACCUAGAGAACUUGAUGAUGAUCGAAUCCGCUAAAGAUUAUGGAUCAUGAUGCCACAAAAGAUCAUCGACAAUAUGUAGUCAAUUAAGGUGGUAAGCAAUCCACUUGACUAAUAACUCAACAAGGAGAGUUAUAUGAACGUUUCGAGAAACGCUCCAUGAGUGCAUUCCAUAGUACUUUAUGGUCAUUACUUUUUGCACAGAUUGCCAUUGAAGGCUUUUGUCG
rnacentral:lncRNA from 1 species